AGGACGAACGCUGGCGGCGUGCUUAACACAUGCAAGUCGAGCGACAGCGCUACUUCGGUGGUGUAUGGAGCGGCGAACGGGUGAGUAACACGUGAGUAACCCUGCCCCUUGGCUUUGGGAUAACCCUCGGAAACGGGGGCUAAAUACCGAAUAUUCACUUUUGCCGGCAUCGGUGGUGGUGGAAAGUUUUUCGGCCAGGGAUGGGCUCGCGGCCUAUCAGCUUGUUGGUGGGUAAUGGCCUACCAAGGCGACGACGGGUAGCC
rnacentral:rRNA from 1 species